UACGGAGGGUGCGAGCGUUAAUCGGAAUUACUGGACGUAAAGGGUGCGUAGGUGGUUGAUUAAGUUAUCUGUGAAAUUCCUGGGCUUAACCUGGGACGGUCAGAUAAUACUGGUUGACUCGAGUAUGGGAGAGGGUAGUGGAAUUUCAGGUGUAGCGGUGAAAUGCGUAGAGAUCGGAAGGAACACCAGUGGCGAAGGCGGCUACCUGGCCUAAUACUGACACUGAGGCAAGAAAGCGUGGGGAGCAAACAGG
rnacentral:rRNA from 1 species